CAUUCAUCCUUCCAUUUUCUAAUCCAACUUACUCCAAUUAAGGGUCACGGGGGGCUGGAGCCUAUCCCAGCAAUCAGAGGGCAUGAGACAGA